rnacentral:lncRNA from 1 species
AGCCUGCCUUUAUUUAUUUAUUUAUUUUCCUUCUACUUCUGCCUCCCAAGUGCUGGGAUUUUUAAAAAGAGGAAUGCAUUAUGGUUCGUGAUUCCAGAGACAUCAGUCCACAACAGCAGGGGGAAAUCUUGGCAAAGAAUGACAGUUCACACUAUGGCAACCAAGAAAGGAGCAAGGGAGGAGAUACCCUUGCAAGGACCCCACCCCCCUCGUCUAGUGACCUGCCCAUCCCCUAAGUUUCCAAAACCUUCCUUAACAGUGACAACGGCUGAGGCUUUAACACAUAAACCUGGGAGGGGCACUUCAUUCCAAACCAAAAUACCCAGUAUGAGUAAUAUACUAGCAACCGGGAAAAUUUCAUUGUCAUCUUAAGAUAUGCUGUUCCUUUUCUUAGAUUGUUCCCAGGAAUGGGCUCGGGAGAUCUUCUGUAUAGCAUAGUCACUACGUUUGAUCAUGGCACAAUGAAUACCCAGAAAAGACAUGUUGUAGGGGUAGAGACAGAGCAGCAGUUAAGAGAGAAGAGCUUACUGCUCUUUCAGAGAACCUGGUUGGGGGGGGGGCGCUGUCUUUAAAGAAUAUCAGUCAGGCUAGGGAGGUGGCUCAGUGGGUAAAGCACUUGCUGCAUAGUCGUGAGAACCUGCAUUUAAUUCACACAAAGACGGACAUGGUAGUGCACAUCUUCAGUCGCAGUGCACCUGUGAUGAGGCAGGAGGAGGCAGGGGAAUCCCUGGAAGCUUGAAGGCCAACAGUGAAUCCAACAGUGGAAGAGAUCACGUCUCAAAUAAGGUGAAAGGUGAGGCUUGCCUUCAAGGUUGUCCUAUGGCCUCCACGUGCAUGUUAUGGCAUGCUGUGCACCCAUAGUCACACACAAGCGUGCACAUGCAUGUUACACACACACAUACACCACUGCUUUAUGUUUUACCACAUUAGUGCUGUUGUGAGCACAUGGCCAAGUACUUGAAGCAGCAUGUUGAGACGCUGAAAGCCGUAUGUCUAUUUCAGCUGUGUAUCACCCGUGCUGACUGGGCUCUGGGAUGGUCCUGAGGCUAAUGCUGUUGCAAGUGGGUGACUGGCCAUUCUUUGCUCUUGGUAGAAGAGAUGGCCACUGUCCAGGACAGAACCUUGUCUAUGGUAUCCAUGGUGAGCAUCUAGGUGCUCAAUUCGGCUCAUAUUCAAGAAAUAAUUGCAAACAAAAACCCAGCAGUUUGCUGGGAGUGGUGGUGCACGCCUUUAAUCCCAGUACUUGGGAGGCAGAGGCAGGCAGAUUUCUGAGUUCGAGGCCAGCCUGGUCUACAAAGUGAGUUCCAGGAACAAAACAAACAAACAAACAAACAAACAAAAACAAACCCAGCAGUUAUUCAUUUCUGUCACAAGGACAGUGACAAAAACUACAGGUGCCGCAUUGCAUUGUGGGUGAGCUUUGAGCAGGUCAUCCGUCAUUGAUGGAAGUUAACAGUGGACCAGCCUUUUCAGGGGGUACUUUGUUAAUGUCUGUUCACUUAUUCAUUUUUAGUAUGCUUUUCGUCUCUCUAUAGGGCCUAGGCUGGCCUUGAACUCACAAUCAACCUCAGCCACCUGUGUUCUGGGUGACCAGCACAGGCCACCAGACCUGGACCAGUCCAUAUGCUUAAGCCCUUUCUCCUGGAAGAAUCUAUGAAGAUGUUCCCUGCAUACUUGGUUGCCACAGUUACAGACUAGAAACCAACUAAGUGGUACCCAAGUCGGGGAAGACUGCUCUGCUCAGUCAGUGAGUGCACACUGGGUUGUUUCCACUUUGGGUUAUUAGUAAUUCACUAUGCUGCUAGUUUUCACAUCAACCUGACACAGGCUAGGCGUUUGAUAGGAACCUUAAUUAAGAAAAUGCCUCCAGCCGGGCGGUGGUGACGCACGCCUUUAAUCCCAGCACUCAGGAGGCAGA